rfam:Heterocephalus glaber contig191441, whole genome shotgun sequence.
UGGCGCCCAACGUGGGGCCAGAGAACGGGGGAUCCAGUGAAGGACGCUGCUCAGGGGCCCUAAGAUUAAGAUUGAGGAACAAAGAGCAUACUCGACAUAGAAGAGGCUUGCGAUUGACGUGGACCUGCCGUCUUUUUGCACCUCGGUAAGUUGAGCAGCGAUUAUGGGACAGGGCAUUAGUCAGCACGAACUGUUUGUGCAAGGUCUCAAGAAGACAUUACAGGCACGAGGGGUAAGGUUACAGUCAAACAAUUGCUGAAAUUUUUUGAUUUUAUUAAACAUCUCUGUCCCU